rnacentral:lncRNA from 10 species
CACACUGGCAGAAUUUUAUUUCUUAAAAUGAUUUUUGCUGUUUUUUCCUUUAUCUUAUAUUGCCUAAGGGCUUUCUUUUUUUUUUUUUUUUAAUAUUUUUAAGUAAACAGGGUCUCAAGCCUUCAGCCACCCCUUCAUCUCUUAUAUUUCCCUCCAGUGAAAUCAUAGUACUAUGCACAGGCCUGGGUCUCCUUGUCUUUCAACAACUUUGGCUUCCACUGGGGUCUUGAAAUCCCU